GCCAGUGAUUAUACGUAAUGUCUUUGCUACAGGUGAUUGUACGAUAUGACCAUACCGACUAAACCAACCGAGAUCAAUGAGGC